UUUUUCUUUUUUCUUCGGCAGUUAACUGCAGCCGGUUCUUUAACUUCGGUAGUUAACUGCUGCAGGAGUAU
rnacentral:pre_miRNA from 1 species